rnacentral:lncRNA from 1 species
GUGGUAAGCAGCAAAUGAGAGAACGCCUGUGAAAGUAGGGUUGAAACUGCGAGGGGCAACUGGAGUGCUGUGAUUCUAAUAUAAUAGAAUCUUUUCAUUAUAAUAGAAUUUUGCUGUGAUUCGAUGGAAGGACAGCAGUAGGAUGAUGCGAAAGGAAGUAGCUCUCCUCUCAGGCUGUGGUCAGAGUGCCCAGGGCUCGGUCUGCGCUGGGGUGAGACCACUGAGCUGAUUGUCACCAAUUGGGUGAAUGGAGAAGGCUACCCUGCAUCGCAGCCUUGAAGGCAGGCUCAACGUUCCAUAUGUGAACAUCCUGAUGGUCAGCCUUCUCCCAGGAAUUAGAUCUCUGAUGACAUAGGACAAUAGGAAGACUCUUCUUCCCCUUUUGCUUGGCAUCCGGCAAUGCAGUCAUGGAGGAAAGUUCACACGCUGUUUGGAAGUCAUUUCUGUUUAGCUCAUCAAUAGUUGCCUUAUAAAAACGAUUCCAUGCCUAAGAAGCAUUCUAAGCCUUUUUAAGCUCCAAAGAUUAGGGUGAAACAGGGAGGGGGUGGGAGGAAGACAGAUAAACAAAGGACCAGAGAGCAUUCUCUGUGCAGAGGAGUAGAUUCUGUCCUUUGGUUAGAUUAAUCCCCAAAUUGGAACUGGCCCUGAACAUUGUUCUGAGAAAGGAGAGCCCAGAUAAGAAAGGCCCCUCCACAAAGCCCCUGCAUCGAGCUGUUUGUGGAAAUGCGGACAGCGUCCUUUCCCUGCAGCCAGAGGACAGAAUGACAGGCCCGCAGAGGACAAACGGAGGGUGAGAUUUUCCUCAGGACAGUUGGACGAGUGGGAGAGGGAAGAGGAGAAGCAGCAGUGGCCUCGUGGUGGCUGCUCGAAGGUUCUGUCAAACCACCAAGUUGUUUUUCUGUCUCAGCCUGGGCACCACCAACCUGCCUGUUUUCACACUAUUGAAAGCACGAGCAUUGAGUUCUGCAAAGACUGAGGGGCAGCCCAGGUUGGCUUUGCCUCCAGUCCAGGCAGAAGGACAGGUGCAGAGGACCCUAACACCCACCCGUGGGAGCCAACCCCCUCUCUCUCGGCAGGCCUGGUUUCCAACCCCAGGACCACAGCUCUCUCGGGAGAGUUCGGCUUUGGUUCUGAAGGACUCCGAGUUGACGCUUGAAGGCUGGAGAUUGUCAUCAGAGGGGCUAAUGGGACAUGAGAUCUGAGGUGGGUCCCAACAGGAUUAAUGCAGCUUGACUGCCUUAAUGCUCCAAGACAGUUGAGAGCUUCCAAGAUGACCGCGCUCAUUGGCAGGUGUUGGUGACUUAAAAUAAGUCAUGCAGGUUCAUUGUCACCCCCGUAAAGACUGAACUGCAACGUCUGCAGGUUUUUACGUGGCAUCCAGCACAUUCCUUCCAACCUCUUCCCUCUUCCUGGCUGCCAUUCUACCUGUCUUCAUCUUUUGGAAAAAAAUUAAAUGUAUGAUUAUUUUAGAAGAUAUAAAAAUAUCAUAAAUGUUUAUUGAAACCACUGAAAUGC